rnacentral:lncRNA from 1 species
AAAACAUUGAGUAGGUGACUGAGUAAAAUGAUGACUGUGUAUUAUGUUUUUGCCAUGCAGCUGGAUAAACAUAUUCAGUGACAGACCUUGGUGAGAACUGCGGAGAUGCUCUUAACAAUGGCAUGAAUAUUAGAUGCUGUCCACGAUUCACUGCCGUUGGGAUUUUGAGCAAAGCCAGGUUUUAAAUUUGCGGGAAGGAGGAAAUUCUAGUCUGCUGGGAGAAAGUAUCUUCUUCUUUGCUGCUCACAUGAGUGUGGAGCUGUCUCCUACCCCUACGGAAUGAAGCACCCGCUUGUCCACAGACCCUGAGGAGGGGCAAAGACUAUGGAAAGAUGAGGUAGGUGCUAGUUUCCCACCACCACCCUUUAUGUUAAAAG